rnacentral:lncRNA from 1 species
AAAAUGGUAAGUUGACAAUUUGAAAGUUUAAAUGACAAUUGCGUUAUAGUUUCUAGUUUGAAGACGUCAAUCGAUGUCAAGAUAGAGGGAACAUGAAAUCUUCUACUUGCAGAAAUUUACAUUAUCUGAAGUUCAUUGAGGUAUAUUUAAUUAAACUUUAAAUGCACUGAAGAGUAGGUUACUGGAUUUUUAAAACAUUUUUUAAAAAAUCAGCCACGAGACACAAUGCGAACCUUUUUACCGAGAUAUCGCAUUAUCUGUUUAUCGUUCUAUUAAUGGCCUUGUCUCCCUCACAAAGUAAACUUGAUAACGUCCUCUGACACAUUGUGAAGUCGCUGAUAACUUAUCCUCAGACAUUGUGACAUCGCUGGUAAUGCCUGCUCUCGUCUCAUACCCGUGAAAUGAAUAUUAUUACUGAGCGACUUAACAGGGUAAUGUAGGCGAAAUGAAGGCGAGUAAGUGCAGCGAGCAUUGUGCCAAACAGCUGAUACUUUACGAAAUCUAUACAACGAAAACCCGC